GUGAGGAGAUCCAGAGCAGCCAGAACCACAUGACUCUGAUUAAUCUCAGGCUGAUCACACUGAGAAUUCAGUGACAGUAGAUCAAGUGCUCUUCAGCAGAAAUCGUUGUGCUUACUGAAAUUCAAAUCAUUGCCCCCAAUGGCCGAAGCUAGAAAUGUUGUUGAACUUAUGGAUGGGCAUGUGCGAGCUUCAGUUUCUGCGUGAAUAGUCAAAAUAGUGGUGCCAAAAAUGUGCUAACGUGGCAACCACCACCCCACCACCACCAGUUGAGUCCCGUCCUGCACGGGGAUAGGCUCCUCGCCCCUGCCUCCUAACGCCGGCAGGAUAUGACGGUUCCGAGUACAACUCCUUCGGACUGCCAGACGGGGCUUACGCCAAAGAGAGACAUUACAUUUCUGUUUUAUAUUCAUCAAAUAAAUGUAAUCUUAAAAUUCACUCAAGUCUGCGAGUCUUCCUGAUAGAAAUG